CAGCCGCCACGGGAAUACGUAGGGUGCGAGCGUUAAUCGGAAUUACUGGGCGUAAAGCGUGCGCAGGCGGUUAUGUAAGACAGAUGUGAAAUCCCCGGGCUCAACCUGGGACCUGCAUUUGUGACUGUAUAGCUAGAGUACGGUAGAGGGGGAUGGAAUUCCGCGUGUAGCAGUGAAAUGCGUAGAUAUGCGGAGGAACACCGAUGGCGAAGGCAAUCCCCUGGACCUGUACUGACGCUCAUGCACGAAAGCGUGGGGAGCAAACAGGAUUAGAUACCCCUGUAGUCCCUGUCUCUUAUAC
rnacentral:rRNA from 1 species